rnacentral:rRNA from 1 species
UGGAGGGCAAGUCUGGUGCCAGCAGCCGCGGUAAUUCCAGCUCCAAUAGCGUAUAUUAAAGUUGUUGUGGUUAAAAAGCUCGUAGUUGAACCUUGGGCCUGGCUGGCCGGUCCGCCUCACCGCGUGUACUGGUCCGGCCGGGCCUUUCCCUCUGUGGAACCCCAUGCCCUUCACUGGGUGUGGCGGGGAAGCAGGACUUUUACUUUGAAAAAAUUAGAGUGCUCCAGGCAGGCCUAUGCUCGAAUACAUUAGCAUGGAAUAAUAGAAUAGGACGUGUGGUUCUAUUUUGUUGGUUUCUAGGACCGCCGUAAUGAUUAAUAGGGACAGUCGGGGGCAUCAGUAUUCAAUUGUCAGAGGUGAAAUUCUUGGAUUUAUUGAAGACUAACUACUGCGAAAGCAUUUGCCAGGGAUGUUUUCAUUAAUCAGGAACGAAAGUUAGGGGAUCGAAGACGAUCAGAUACCGUCGUAGUCUUAACCAUAAACUAUGCCGACUAGGGAUCGGACGAUGUUAUUUUUUGACUCGUUCGGCACCUUACGGGAAAC